rnacentral:rRNA from 1 species
CCUACGGGUGGCAGCAGUAGGGAAUAUUGCUCAAUGGGGGAAACCCUGAUGCAGCAACGCCGCGUGAGUGAUGAAGGUCUUCGGAUCGUAAACCUCUUUUGUUAGAGAAGAUAAUGACGGUAUCUAACUAUUCACCUCCGGCUAACUCCUUGCCAGCAGCCGCGGUCAUACGUAGUGCGCGAGCGUUCCUCGGAAUCACUGGGCGAAAAGUGAGCGUAGGCGGGUUGUCAAGUCAGAUGUGAAAUCCUAUGGCUUAACCAGAGGUCGGCAUUUGAAACUGUAAUUCUAGAGUGCGGAAGAGGAAAGUGGAAUUCUUGGUGUAGCGGUGAAAUGCGUAGAGAUCAGGAGGAACACUAGUGGCGAAGGCGACUUGCUGGACUGUAACUGACGCUGAUGCGCGAAAGCGUGGGGAGCAAACAGGAUUAGAUACCCGAGUAGUC